UACGUAGGGGGCAAGCGUUGUCCGGAUUUAUUGGGCGUAAAGAGCUCGUAGGCGGUGUGUCGCGUCGGCCGUGAAAACCUGGGGCUUAACUCUGGGCGUGCGGUCGAUACGGGCAUCACUGGAGUUCGGCAGGGGAGACUGGAAUUCCUGGUGUAGCGGUGAAAUGCGCAGAUAUCAGGAGGAACACCGGUGGCGAAGGCGGGUCUCUGGGCCGAUACUGACGCUGAGGAGCGAAAGCAUGGGUAGCGAACAGG
rnacentral:rRNA from 1 species